rnacentral:rRNA from 1 species
AGUGAACGCUGGCGGUAGGCCUAACACAUGCAAGUCGAACGGCAGCACAGAGGAGCUUGCUCCUUGGGUGGCGAGUGGCGGACGGGUGAGGAAUACAUCGGAAUCUACUCUGUCGUGGGGGAUAACGUAGGGAAACUUACGAUAAUACCGCAUACGACCUACGGGUGAAAGCAGGGGACCUACGGGCCUUGCGCGAAUGAAUGAGCCGAUGCCGGAUUAGCUAGUUGGCGGGGUAAAGGCCCACCAAGGCGACGAUCCGUAGCUGGUCUGAGAGGAUGAUCAGCCACACUGGAACUGAGACACGGUCCAGACUCCUACGGGAGGCAGCAGUGGGGAAUAUUGGACAAUGGGCGCAAGCCUGAUCCAGCCAUACCGCGUGGGUGAAGAAGGCCUUCGGGUUGUAAAGCCCUUUUGUUGGGAAAGAAAUCCAGCUGGCUAAUACCCGGUUGGGAUGACGGUACCCAAAGAAUAAGCACCGGCUAACCUCGUGCCAGCCGCCGCCGUAA